GAUGAACGCUGGCGGCGUGCCUAAUACAUGCAAGUCGAGCGAACAGACGAGGAGCUUGCUCCUCUGACGUUAGCGGCGGACGGGUGAGUAACACGUGGAUAACCUACCUAUAAGACUGGGAUAACUUCGGGAAACCGGAGCUAAUACCGGAUAAUAUCUUGAACCGCAUGGUUCAAUAGUGAAAGACGGUUUUGCUGUCACUUAUAGAUGUAUCCGCGCCGCAUUAGCUAGUUGGUAAGGUAACGGCUUACCAAGGCAACGAUGCGUAGCCGACCUGAGAGGGUGAUCGGCCACACUGGAACGUAGACACGGUCCAGACUCCUACGGGAGGCAGCAGUAGGGAAUCUGCCGCAAUGGGCGAAAGCCUGACGGAGCAACGCCGCGUGAGUGAUGAAGGUCUUCGGAUCGUAAAACUCUGUUAUUAGGGAAGAACAAAUGUGUAAGUAACUAUGCACGUCUUGACGGUACCUAAUCAGAAAGCCACGGCUAACUACGUG
rnacentral:rRNA from 1 species